CUCCGAUGCUGCGCGCCAGGCCGGGUUCCGGAAAGCGGGUGGCGCAGGCGGGGAGCGCGGUAGGGAGCGGCCCUGGCUGCGGGGUCGCGGCCGUGGAGAGGUGGUGCGGGGCGCAGGACCGCUGAAGAUCCCAGCUGGACUCUGCGCGCCCGAAACCAGCUCUGCCACCCUGAGGACGAAGCCUCCCACUGAAGCCUCCUGCACGUGAACUGGAGGAAGAGAAGUAUCAAUUCCAGGACCUCAGCCUUCCUGUCUACCUAAGGGCAGAGGUCAAGGAUAGAAACAGAAUCAAGAAACAUUUAGAACAUAGUCCCGGGCUUCUGGGCAUCUCGAGAUCUGCUCACAGGGCGCAUCCCUAACACUCAUCCCUGUACCCAGCAGCUUCUCUACCCUGCGUGCUAGACAUUGCAUACAGAAGAAAAGGACAAAGCAGACCUCCAGACGAACAGGAUCCAGAGUGACCAGAACCAGACCAGAAAUCCUAUGACGACAUCACAGGAGGGGCCAACGUUGGGCUUGAAGAUGAUGGAGACAUUUUCAGGGAAGACCUUCCUGAUCUGCAGAGGUACAGGACAGUGGUUACACGCAUGGGGUGCUGGUCCCUAAAGGAAGAGGCCUGGGACCCCAUCACCUCACACAGAAAGACCCACUUCUCUCCUGUCCAGGUACCCACAGUUUCAAGAGCAAAAUGCAGCCUUGCUUGUGUCCUGAUGAAGGUCUUUUGCCUGCUUCUGUACAUGGUGCGGUGGGGUUAGGGAGGCACUGGAGGGAGACAAAGGCAGCCAUUCAACCAGAAGUGAUUCUUGUCGGAUAGCCACAGCUGGGCUCUGAUGCACUCUGUCUUGGGUGCUACCCUCCUCCCCCCACCACCCUGGAAAUCUUAGUUUUUCUUUAUUUUCCUUAUUUUUUAAUGAUUUGUUUAUUUAUUUUAUACAUAAGUACACUGUAGCUGUCUUCAGACACACCAGAAGAGGGCAUCAGCUCCCGUUACAGAUGGUUGUGAGCCACCAUGUGGUUCCUGGGAUUUGAACUCAGGACCUCUGGAAGAGCAGUUCAGUGCUCUUAACCACUUAACCACUGAGUUUUUCUUUAUGUCUGCUCACCUCCUUUGCUUAAACCCAGAGGGCUGGAGGGUCACCAUGUCCCCCAAAGGCUUUGGGAGCAAUGAGGGGUUUGAUUGCAGUCAGGUCAUAGAGAUACAUGGAUCUGCCAAGGUUGCAGUCCAUCUGCCCUGCAGGUCCAUAUUGGGCGCAGUGUUGGCCAGCAAGACUGGCCCAGGGAUCUUCAACCGGUGAACUUAGAUGUGUUGUUCGUUAGAGUUUGUGCUGACAUUCUCCAGGUCCAAGUUAGGCACAGGGAGUUCCCGACCUCCAUCAGUGGUCUUUGUGAUCUCCUGUGGGGUGAUAGUGGGGCCAUCACUGUGAGUUUUAACUCCCUUAUGUAUGUCCAGGGGCUAUAGUUACACGUAUUGCUUAGAUAUGAGAAACUGAGGUCCCUAGACAUGGGAACUCGCUCAAGGUCACACGGCCAUUACAGCAGUCAGACAGGUGAUUGUCUGUGUCACCUGAGGAUGCCACUGCUCUGUGUCACGCUAUGCUGGCAGCCCAGGGAGUGUCUGCAGACCUUCAAGCAGGAUCAGGACAGCAGAUCUUCUUACUCGAGGGAGAGUUUGGUUUCAGGCUUCCCCUCUCUGGAACAUUCUGAGAAGUCACUCGUGUUGUGUACUCUGGAGAAGCGUGGGCAGACUUUCCUAAAUGCCGAUUUUGUUUAUUCCAAUCAACUGUAGGUUGGCUUCAGGCUUACCCAAAGACAGCCUAAAAGCCUGAAGGUUCUUCGUGCCUGUUUCAACACAAAUCCUCUCUCAGUUGAGUCUUGGGGGCUCAGGCCAUAGCUUUGGGCACCAAAGCUAGUGGCAUCUUUGGGGCAGGACAGUGCUGGGCCAAGGUAGGAGUUCUAGAGAAGUUGACUGUGCAGUCUCACAGGGAGAGUGUGGUCUGUCCCCAGGUGGCACCUGUAAGCAGUAAUGUGACUAAAAUUUCUGUGACGGACGCCUCAGCGAGGAGAAGAGAUCGGUUCUCACCCCAGAGCGUUCAGAGUUUAAUCAGCCUUCUGAAACACACAGAGCUUUUCCUUCAAAUCACAGGAAGAAUGUGCUGCCUGCUGUGCCGCACAUUCCCACUGCUACCUUGUUCCCACUGGCCGGCCAGAGUGUGGCCACAGCCCAGUUAAGCUCUGCAGCAUCCAGAGAGGAUGGCCCUGAAUUCCUGUGUUCCACCCUGCUGGCCUUCUCUGGGCAAGGCUGGGUCUCCUUGGGGAUAGAGUCUGAGCUGCAGAUCAGUCUGGGAAACGUGAGUCUCCGGCAGAAUUCAGCGCUGGGGAAACCACUGCAAAAUUACUCCCUUCCUUCUCUGGAAGCCAGUGGACAAGAGGGCAUUGUGUGGGGUCAGAGCCCUCCUGUCACAAAGGGGCCUUUCAGAGGAACCGAUGGGGCAGGCAAUACCCCAGCCGCCUGGGCUCCUGGGCACAUGUCCUGUCUUCCGUGUGCACAUGUGUGUGCAUGUACAUAUGUGUGUAUGUAUGUGUGCACAUGUGUGUUCAUAAGUGUGUAUGUUCACAUGUGUGCCUGUAUGUGUAUGUGCAUGUAUGUGUACGCAUAAGUGUGCAUGUCCGCAUGUAUGCAUGUGUAUGUAUGAAUGUGUGUAUGCAUAUAUGCAUAUGUGCAUGUAUAUAAAUACAUGUGCACAUGUAUGCAUGUGUAUAUGUGUGUAUAUAUGCAUAUGUAUGUGCACGUGUGUGUGCGCAUGCACAUGUUUAUGCUGAGGACAGAGAGCUGUAUGUUGGGUAAACAGGGUUAGAACAGAGCACUAACAAACAUCUCUCUUAGGAAGUUAUUUCCUUGUAGGAGAAAGACCAGGCAUGGUAGGAUGGGUAGACAGUAUGACUGGAUCCCUAAAAGGUACGAGUAAGACUGACAGCAUCUGAGCUCCCAGCUUAGGUGUGGUGACAGAUGACUUGGGGGUGAGAAAUGUAGUCUGAUGGCUUUGUGGACUCUGGAUCAGUCAGCCAUGUGAGAAUUUACCCAUUCUAAUACUCAGGCACCCUGGAAAGAGCCGAUACACACACACCUGAGGGAGGAAGGGAGG
ensembl:lncRNA Fendrr FOXF1 adjacent non-coding developmental regulatory RNA